GAUGAACGCUGGCGGCGUGCUUAACACAUGCAAGUCGAACGAAGCACUUUAUUUGAUUUCCUUCGGGACUGAUUAUUUUGUGACUGAGUGGCGGACGGGUGAGUAACGCGUGGGUAACCUGCCUUGUACAGGGGGCGAACAGUUGGAAACGGCUGCUAAUACCGCAUAAGCGCACAGCAUCGCAUGAGGCAGUGUGAAAAACUCCGGUGGUAUAAGAUGGACCCGCGUUGGAUUAGCUAGUUGGUGAGGUAACGGCCCACGAAGGCGACGAUCCAUAGCCGGCCUGUGAGGGUGACCGGCCACAUUGGGGCUGGGACACGGCCCGAACUCCUACGGGAGGCAGCAGUGGGGAAUAUUGCACAGUGGGCGAAGGCCUGAUGCAGCGACGCCGCGUGAGCUAAGAAGUAUUUCGGUAUGUAAAGCUCUAUCAGCAGGGAAGAUAAUGACGGUACCUGACUAGGAAGCACCGGCUAAAUACGU
rnacentral:rRNA from 1 species